ACAAACUUGGUCAUUUAGAGGAAGUAAAAGUCGUAACAAGGUUUCCGUAGGUGAACCUGCGGAAGGAUCAUUAACAAGGGCGCGCCCCCCGGGGCGCGCGCGGGAGGGCCCCGCGGCUCCGGCCCGGCCCUCCCUCCUCUCCAAACCCCUCCGUGUACGCUUUUCUACCCGGCGUUGCUUCCCCGCCGUGCCUUGCCGCCGGCGGGGGAGGACCUCAUGAAAAUUCUUUUUUUGUUUCCGUCAUCUGUUCAGUCAUGGGCGGCGGCUCCGUCCGCGUCGGCCCGAGAAACUGUCAAAACUUUCAACAACGGAUCUCUUGGUUCCCGCAUCGAUGAAGAACGCAGC
rnacentral:misc_RNA from 1 species